GUUCCUAAAUCGCUUAAUCCUGAAAAGGAACGGGGGAACCAUUCGCGGUAACUAUUGAAAAUAGUUUAUCGCAAGGGGGUGAAUCCUACAAUGCAAAUACUUUUAUUUGUAAUGUGGGUAGGGCAAUCUCGCUGCCCGAAUCCGUCAGCUAACCUCGUAAGCGUUGACUGAGAGAGGAU
rnacentral:sRNA from 2 species